rnacentral:SRP_RNA from 1 species
UGUCAGUUCCCCCGCGGUGAUAGCCCGUGAACCCCGCCAGGCCCGGAAGGGAGCAACGGUAGCGGGCGAUUCAGGUGCCGGGGUCCGGCUGGCAGGU